CUGGUAGACAUGGUAUGAAGCUCUCACUGAUGCUGAGCAGCUACACAGAUCGUCUGGCCUCUACAGAUUGUCCACUCAAAGCCUUGAUCGGAUCUUCCUUCGUGGGAGUGCUAGCUCACAUCGAAAGCUCUGGAUGGCUGAUCUAAGCUCUUUUCUUUGGAUCUCUUAGACUCCAUCGGAUCAAAAGAUGAAACUUUAUAAGGAGGUGAUGGUGUGGAAGAUUGGACAAGACUCACUAUUGUAUUUUUUCUCUCAUAAAAUCUAGAAUCGAAACCCUAGACCCACCCUACACCUCAUGCCCA
rnacentral:lncRNA from 1 species